rnacentral:tRNA from 1 species
GGUUUUGUAGUUUAAUUUAAAAAUAAUGAAUUGCAAAUUCAUGGAUACAUAUUAUGUUAAAACUU